UUCAGCAAACUCUCUCUGACCUGCACUGUCCAAUAUGGUCACGACUGGCCACAAGUGGGCUUUUGAGUCCUUGAAAUGGGGUCAGCCUGAAUUAGGCUGUGCUGUGGACUUCCCUGGUGGCUCAGACAGUAAAGAAUCUGCCUACAAUGCAGGAGACACAGGCUUGAUUGUUGAGUCAAGAAGAUGCCCUGGAGAAGAGAAUGGCUACCCACUCCAGUAUUCUUGCUUGCAGAAUCCCAUGGACAGAGGAGCCUGGUGGGCUACCGUCCAUGGGGCUGCAAAGAGUUGGACACGACCGAGUGACUAAGCACGUCAAUGUAAACACAUUGGAUUUCAGAGACUUAGUAAGAAAAAAGAAGGCAAAAUAAGAACCUUUUUAUAUUGAUUACAUGUUGAAAUGAUGCUAUCUUAGAUAAGUUUGUGUUAAGUAAAAUACCUUAUUAAAAUUAACUCCCCUGGUUUCAUUGUGUAUUCCUUUUAUUCUGUGGGGUCUCAGGGCAUGUCAAGUUACGUAUGCAGCUGGAGUGGUCAUUUCUAUGGGACAGCACUGCAUUAUAAUUUCUGUGGGUCUUGAGAAACCACAGCUGACCACAAUGACAACAGAAGAAAUAAUAAUAAUAAUACUGUACUGAUUGUUUAUGGUGUGCUGUAGCUGUUCAGACACAUGAUCAAGUUUAAGCUUUCUGACAGUGCUGCAAAAUGAGGAUGUCAUCUCCAUUUCUCAGAUGGGGAAACUGAGGCUUAGAGGGGUGGAGUCUUUGCCUGCCUGGGAAGCCCUAGACUUAUUAAAGUGUGUCUUUCUUGCAAGGAUUUGAGGCAGAGAUAGACGUAUGGGGAAGGGGUAAUGGGUGAGCAGAGAAGCAGGCAGAACUUUAGCAAAACAAGUCUUUCAGCUACUCUCCUGGCAAACAGGACCCACAGUCCAGCUAUUCCAAGCAGCUGCCUUCAGCAUCUAGUAUGGCUGGUCCUUGUCCUGACGAUGCUUCAGUGGGUGCCCCAAGAUGUUGAACCAGAGAAGACACUCCAGGCCAGUGGAACAGGAUGUAUAGAGGAACAGAGAAUGGGGUAUCACAAGGGGAGGAGCUUGGCAAUGGGACCUCGGCUGGAUGAGCCGGAAGGAGCAGGUAAGAGUGGUUUUCAAUUGCUAUCAGUUCAGUUCAGUCGCUCAGUCGUGUCUGUCUCUUUGCGACCCCAUGAAUCGCAGCACGCCAGGCCUCCCUGUCCAUCACCAGCUCCUGGAGUUCACUCAGACUCGCGUCCAUCGAGUCAGUGA
rnacentral:lncRNA from 1 species